GCCCUAAGCUGUCUGUUAGAGGUGCGUCCUGCUGGCGGGGAUGAAACGUUUGCCGCCGAAUACGUCGCUCCCAUUUUUUGUCCGGCUGCCUCAUUUUCUCUGGCGGUUGCCUCGGUCUAAUGGACCGCGGCCGGCUGGCGGCAAGCCGCUUUGAAAUACAAGGCUACUCUCAAAAUCGACCAUCCAUGUUGGUUUGGACACAUUCGCAUCAGUUCGUCGCUCAAUCGCGAGUUACUACAGCCUGCAGUUUGCUAGCUAGCAAAGUCAUGACUACCAUCGUUUAAGCAGCGUCCAUCACGUGCAGUUGUUUUAAUCCAUGACCAUGAUGAUAUCUCCCCUUGCGUGUCACUCUAAAUGUUAGUUUUUUUCCUAGCCUUUUGAUUUUGACUUAAACAGCACCCUUUUUUUUAUUUGUUCUUUGUUUUUUUGCUCAGGUGAUUAUUUCUCGUACAUGGACAACAUUUAUAAAUACGCAUGUAUAUUCUUUUACCCAACAAGAGUUUUGUAUGUUAAAAAAUAAAAAUCCAUUCAUGCUGCUGAUGGGAAAUUAUGAAAAUUUGGCGAUGACGUCAUUUAGCGACUUGUAACGACUUUUAGAACAGCCAAUAGUGACUUUCCUUGCUGAGGAGUUGGCAACACUGUGCAUUUGACCUAAUGCUUGCUUGGGGUUCAUAGGACAAGCAUUGUUGGUAUAAGCGUAGCUGCACUCCCCUGCUAGAACCUCCAAAGAAACUCGAGCCCACCUAAGAUGCACAGGGAAAAAGUAUUGUAAUUACUAUGAUCUUCCAUUCCCCUAGAUGGCGCUGAUUCAUGUUGUUGACUGAGUCACCCUAUUUCGCAUAGCUACCUUUUUUCCCCCUCUUGUCAGGUGAAUCAUUAGAUGAAGACAGAGUGAAAUAAAUAUAGUGAAACUGACAAUUUAAUACACGGGAGAAAUAAUUUUCAAUAUUGAUAUUAGCUAGUAAAAAUGGCAAGAAGGCUUAGUUAUCAUGAACUGCCGUUUUUCCUCCGGAUAAAGUUUAAGAAUCUCCGGUGGGGUACAACGGGGUAAA
ensembl:lncRNA